GCAUGGUUAGUGGUCCUGAGGAACAGAAUCACAUAAAUAAUGAAAGACGUGCCAUGGUCCGGAUACUUGUGUCCCACUAGUUGUGCACUUUGGAGAGAAUCCAUCUUCAGGUGCAAAGGCUAUGCUGGCAUCAUCAAUUGUGGAUCAGUUUCCAUGCCUGAAGGACUGUCAAGGCACAGGCUACGACGACGCAUGGUUCACCCCAGG